ensembl:snoRNA
UGUAGUGUUCCUUUGGGACCUGUCUGCUGUGGCAGCCUCCUUUUCUAGCUGCUGAAGGACAGAUUCUUGUUUAUUGGCAAAGCUGUUACCAUUGAAUUGGUAUCAGAUUCUAUCUUGCACAAGUGACCGUC